GGGGUUGUGGCUCAGCGGUAGAGCACUUGCCUUGCAUGUGUGAGGCACUGGGUUCGAUACUCAGCACCA
rnacentral:tRNA from 1 species